AGAAUAAGGUCAUCAUAUCGCGUGCCAAAUUAAAAUCAUUCAAUCAUCUAGGAACUGAUGGAUGGAUCCACUAUUAAUAAAUUAACAUGCUCCAAUAAUUGAAUACCUAGUGAAGUUAUUGGGUCACUCUUCAUGUAUCUGAUCUUCUAAUAUUGCCAUUUUAUUGGAAUACUCUACAACCGAAAAAUAUUAAUUCAGAAUAUUAAAUUGAAAAAUUAAUUCGAAAAUGAAUCAAUCUGAUUUUGAUAUAAAUUUCAUUUAAAGAAAUAUCAGAAGCAUAAUGCAACUGGUACAAGAACAUGUAUCUAAAUCAUCAGGUGGAUAAAGGAAUAAAAUUGAAAACUAAAAUUGAAAUUACUUAUUUAAAUAUUAUAU